AAUCAACGCUGGCGGCGUGCCUCAGACAUGCAAGUCGAACGCGAAAGGUUCCUUCGGGGACCGAGUAGAGUGGCGCACGGGUGAGUAACACGUAGGUAAUUUGCCUUUGGGUGGGGAAUAACUCAGGGAAACUUGAGCUAAUACCGCAUAAUGCAGCGGCUCGACAUCGAGACAGUUGUUAAAGCGGGGGAUUCGCAAGAACCUCGCGCCUAAAGAGAAGCCUGCGGCAGAUAGCUAGUUGGUAAGGUAAUGGCUUACCAAGGCGACGAUCUGUAACCGGCCUGAGAGGGCGGUCGGUCACACUGACACUGACAUACGGGUCAGACUCCUACGGGAGGCAGCAGUCGGGAAUUUUGGGCAAUGGGCGAAAGCCUGACCCA
rnacentral:rRNA from 1 species